rnacentral:lncRNA from 1 species
GACUUUGAGGUUUCCCGUAGUGUAUGUCCUGUAUGUUGGGGGCUUGUAUUGCAUUGCGCUGGUACGUAGUUUACAGAUUGGAUUGGAUUGCCCUCGGGAGGGGCCCCUGACCAUCUUAUAUAGGCUGACGACCUAGGGUUACAGGUCAGUUUGAAUCUAAUCUACUUGGUAGUUACAUGGAAGGUAAUCUAAGUCGGAUUACAAUACAUAUCCCGCAAUAUCUGGGUUGAAUUGAAUCGUCC